AAUCAACUGACGAGUCUCAUGUAGGACGAAACACGCGUCUUGAAU
rfam:Schistosoma mansoni strain Puerto Rico chromosome 3, complete genome